UUGUCAUGCCAAUGGCACUGCCCGGUAGCUAAAUGCGGAAGAGAUAAGUGCUGAAAGCAUCUAAGCACGAAACUUGCCCCGAGAUGAGUUCUCCCUGAGACUUAAAGUCUCCUGAAGGAACGUUGAAGACGACGACGUUGAUAGGCCGGGUGUGUAAGCGCAGCGAUGCGUUGAGCUAACCGGUACUAAUGAACCGUGAGGCUUAACCUU
rnacentral:rRNA from 1 species